UCUUCUCUGCUGGAAUGUUUAUGGGUGGAACUGAUCAAAACCAUGGAAUCUUGAAGAAGAUAGAGAAAGAGAAGGGAAGAAAUCUUGGAGGAACAUCAAGCUUUGGAGGAGAUGAUAUGAUGACUCUGGAUUUUAUGGGGAUUGGAGGAUCAAGAUCAACAAAUUUAAGUGAACAACAUCAAGGGAUGCAUCAAUUUCAACAACAGAUAUCUCAUGAACAAGCAGCAAUGGAGAAAUCUAUGUGGGAUAUUUGACUCUUUAA